rnacentral:rRNA from 1 species
GAUGAACGCUGGCGGCGUGCCUAAUACAUGCAAGUCGAACGAGGUGCUUUUGUAGCAAUACGAGAGUAUCCUAGUGGCGAACGGGUGAGUAACGCGUUGGUGACCUGCCCCAAAGUGCGGGAUAACAGUCCGAAAGGACUGCUAAUACCGCAUGUGGUUCUUGGAUUUAGAAACCGAGCUCUAAAGGAGCAAUCCGCUUUGGGAGGGACCUGCGUCCCAUCAGCUAGUUGGUGAGGUAAUGGCCCACCAAGGCUACGACGGGUAGGGGACCUGAGAGGGUGGCCCCCCACAAUGGAACUGAAACACGGUCCAUACACCUACGGGUGGCAGCAGUAGGGAAUAUUGGGCAAUGGGCGAAAGCCUGACCCAGCAACGCCGCGUGUGUGAUGAAGGCCUUCGGGUCGUAAAGCACUUUUCUGGGAGAUGAGAAAGGACAGUAUCCCAGGAAUAAGUCUCGGCUAACUACGUGCCAGCAGCCGCGGUAAAACGUAGGAGGCGAGCGUUAUCCGGAUUCACUGGGCGUAAAGCGCGUGCAGGUGGCGCGGUAAGUUGGGCGUGAAAUCUCCCGGCUCAACUGGGAGAGGUCGUCCAAUACUACCGUGCUUGAGAGCAGAAGAGGAAGAUGGAAUUCCCGGUGUAGUGGUGAAAUGCGUAGAUAUCGGGAGGAACACCAGUGGCGAAGGCGAUCUUCUGGUCUGUUUCUGACACUCAGACGCGACAGCUAGGGUAGUAAACGGGAUUAGAGACCCCGGUAAUCCUAGCCGUAAACGAUGUGAACUUGGCGUUGGUGGGUUAAACUCCAUCAGUGCCGUAGCAAACGCGAUAAGUUCACCGCCUGGGGACUACGGCCGCAAGGUUA